GGGUGCGUAACACGUGGGUAAUUUGCCGUGAAGUUGGGGAUAACUCGCUGAAAGGCGAGCUAAUACCGGAUGUGGUUUCGGAGUGGCAUCAUUCUGCAACUAAAGCUGGGGAUCGUAAGACCUGGCGCUUCAUGAUAAGCCCGCGGCCUAUCAGCUAGUUGGUGAGGUAACGGCUCACCAAGGCUAAGACGGGUAGCUGGUCUGAGAGGACGACCAGCCACACUGGAACUGAGACACGGUCCAGACACCUACGGGUGGCAGCAGUCGAGAAUUUUUCUCAAUGGGCGCAAGCCUGAAGGAGCGACGCCGCGUGGGGGAUGAAGGGUUUCGAUCCGUAAACCCCUGUCAUUUGUGAACAAUGGUUACUAUUUAAAAGAUGGUGACUUGAUAGUAAUGAAAGAGGAAGGGACGGCUAACUCUGUGCCAGCAGCCGCGGUAAUACAGAGGUCCCAAGCGUUGCUCGGAUUCACUGGGCGUAAAGGGUGCGUAGGUGGCUGGGAAAGUUUGAUGUGAAAGCUCAGGGCUCAACCCUGAAAUGGCAUUGAAUACUACUUAGCUGGGAGGUUUGGAGGGGGGACUGGAAUUCUCGGUGUAGCAGUGAAAUGCGUAGAUAUCGAGAGGAACACCAGUGGCGAAGGCGAGUCCCUGGACAACACCUGACACUGAGGCACGAAAGCUAGGGGAGCAAACAGGAUUAGAUACCCUGGUAGUCCUAGCCCUAAACGGUGCGUGUUUGCUGUAGGAGGAAUCGACCCCUUCUGUGGCGAAGCUAACGCGUUAAACACGCCGCCUGGGGAGUACGGUCGCAAGAUUAAAACUCAAAGAAAUUGACGGGGGCCUGCACAAGCGGUGGAGUAUGUGGCUUAAUUCGAUGCAACGCGAAGAA
rnacentral:rRNA from 1 species